ensembl:lncRNA
UUUGGUUGUGAUGGUAAGACAUGGAUGAGAUUUUCAGACUUUGCAACAGUGAAGACGAGACGCUAAGCGAGACACGCCACACCUUUUUGACAACUUUACUUGGGUUACUUAUAAGCGUCCGGAUACUUUCUUAACGAUUCGCCGUUACGUGGAAUAACUCUGCAGGUUUCCCCACGUGUGGGAUGGCUUUUGAAGAUCCUUGAAUUUCUGUUAAGUGAGCAAAAUUAGUAUUUUUCACGGCAUAUUUCAACAUUGUAAAAGGAACUAUCAGAAAUGGAUCAACAGGCAAGUGGAGGAGAAGAUCCAAAUAAGCCUUCCAAAAAGAAAUCAAACGAGGAUGAGAGUAAAAACAAGAAGCUGAACAUACAUAUAAAAACAUUGGCUGACGACAUGCGUGACAGAAUUACAAGUUUCCGAAAGCAAGGCACGAAGAAGGAGAAGCCGGUUAUCCAACACCCAACUGACCCUAACGCCACCCAGGCAGAGCUGCCUGUGCCCCAGCCACUCUUUGAUGAGCGCUCCUUGAACCUCUCCGAAAAAGAGAUUGUUGACCUCUUUGAGAAGAUGAUGGAGGAUAUGAACCUAAAUGAGGACCGCAAGGCCCCCCUGCGUGGGAAGGACCUGAGCACCAAGCGAGAGAUGGUGGUCCAGUACAUCUCUGCCACAGCCAAAUCUAUAACUGGGAGCAAAGUUACGGGUGGGCUAAGGAACAGCAAGCAUGAGUGUACGCUGUCGUCACAGGAAUACGUACAUGAGCUGCGCUCCGGAAUCGCUGAGGAGAAGCUCCUCAACUGCCUGGAGUCUCUGCGUGUCUCCCUGACCAGCAACCCCGUCAGCUGGGUGAAUAACUUCGGCCACGAGGGUCUCGGCCUGCUCCUGGACGCCUUGGAGAAGCUUCUCGACAAGAAACAACAAGAGAGCAUUGACAAGAAGAACCAACACAAACUCAUCCAGUGUCUCAAAGCCUUUAUGAACAAUAAGUAUGGCCUGCAAAAGAUACUUGGCGACGAGCGAAGCCUCCUUCUUCUGGCAAGGGCCAUCGAUCCCAAGCAGCCGAAUAUGAUGACGGAGAUUGUGAAGAUUCUGUCAGCUGUCUGUAUUAUUGGAGAGGAGAACAUCCUGGAUAAGAUCCUGGCAGCCAUGACCAUCGCAGCCGAGAGGAAUAACAAGGAGCGAUUUGCUCAGAUCGUAGAGGGGCUGGAGAACCACGACGCCCAGCAGCUUCAGGCGGCCUGCAUGCAGCUGAUCAACGCCCUGGUCACCUCCCCGGAUGACCUGGACUUCAGGAUACAUCUGCGGAAUGAGCUCCUGCGCUGCGGCUUGAAGAAGAUCCUGCCCGAGCUGAAAGAGACAGAAGAGUUGGACAUACAGUUGAAGGUGUUCAAUGAGAACAAGGAGGAGGACUCUAUUGAGCUGUCUCACCGGCUCGAUGACAUCCUCCUUAACCGUCUGCGUACUGACAUGGGUGAGGUAUACCAUCUUCUGUCCAACAUGGUGAAAGACACAACCUCUGAGCCUUACUUCCUGUCAGUUCUCCAGCACCUGCUGCUCAUUAGGAAUGACUACUACAUCAGGCCUCAGUACUACAAGGUGAUCGAGGAGUGCGUGUCCCAGAUUGUGCUACACCGGAGUGGGAUGGACCCGGACUUUGGCUACCGGGAGAGGCUGGAUGUAGACUUCACUGUCCUUAUCGACCAAUGCGUGGAUAAGGCCAAGGUUGAGGAGAGUGAACAGAGAGCAACUGAAUUCUCCAAAAAGUUCGACGAGGAGUUCAGCGCACGACAGGAGGCGCAGGCCGAGCUGCAGAAACAGGAGGAGAAAAUCAAAGAGCUUGAGGUACAGAUCAGUACCCUGCGGAGCCAGGUGGCUGCUGGUCCUGGGUUGCCUGCUCCACCACCACCCCCUCCACCCCCACCUCCACCUGGGGCAGGGCCGCCUCCACCCCCUCCCUGUCCAGCGAUGAUGCCGCCGCCUCCGCCUCCGCCCGGCUGCGGUCCUCCUCCACCGCCCCCUCCGCCCGGCUGCGGUCCUCCUCCACCGCCCCCUCCGCCUGGCGGAGGUCCUCCGCUUCCUCCUCCCUUCCCUGGGGCGGUGGCUGUCCCCCCACCUCCACCUGUGAUCAAACUGCCUUAUGGCCUGGAGCCAAAAAAGACCUACAAACCUGACGCGGUCAUGAAGAGGGUCAACUGGUCGAAGAUAGUGCCUCAGGAGAUGGCAGAGAAUUGCUUUUGGAUCAAAGUCAAAGAGGAGAAGUUUGAGAACCCGGACCUGUUCGCCCAGCUCUCGCUCUUCUUCUCGUCCAAGUCCAGAGGUAAGCGGGCUAACAGAAGGAUGAAUAAAAAGACUUCUCCAUUUCUCUCCCCCCCAACAGCAAUUUUCCUCGGAUCAUUCCGGCUGCGUUAUGAAGAGAUCCGGGACAUCGUGCUGGAGGUGGAUGAGGAACGGCUGAGCGAGGCACUGAUCCAGAAUCUGAUCAAGAACCUCCCUGAACAGAAGGAGCUGAGUGCUCUGGCUGAACUGAAGGGCGAGUAUGAGGAGCUGUGCGAGUCUGAGCGGUUUGGCAUUGUGAUGAGCUCAGUGAAGCUGCUACGCCCCCGUCUGAACGGCAUCCUCUUCAAGCUGACGUUCGAGGAGCAGGUGAACAACAUCCGGCCGGACAUCAUGAACGUCACCUUCGCGUGUGAGGAGGUGAAGAAGAGCGAGGGCUUCACCAAGCUGCUGGAGCUGAUCCUGCUGGUGGGGAACUACAUGAACGCCGGCUCCAGAAACGCCCAGACCUUCGGCUUCAACAUCAGCUUCCUCUGCAAGCUUCGGGAUACGAAGUCGAUGGACCAGAAUACAACACUUCUGCACUUCCUGGCUGAGAAGUGUGAGGAGAAGUAUCCCGAGAUCCUGAAGUUCCCUGAUGAGCUGCAGCAUGUAGAGAACGCCAGCAAAAUGUCUGCCCAGAUCCUCAAAGCCAGUUUGGACACGAUGGAGCGUCACAUCCAGAGGCUGGAGAAUGACAUCCAGAACUUCCCCAAGACUGAGGACAAACAGGAUAAGUUUGUGGAAAAAAUGUCCAUAUCCUUCACAUGCUACUCCCGCGAGCAGUACGAGAAGCUCUCUACCAUGCACAAGAACAUGCAGAAGCUCUACGAGAGUCUGGGGAGCUACUUCGCCUUCGACCCCCACACCAUCAGCAUCGAGGACUUUUUCGGGGACCUGGCCAACUUCCGCACCCUCUUCAUGGACGCCAUGAAGGAAAAUCACAAAAAGAGGGAGAUGGAGGAGAAAGUGAAAAGGGCCAAGAUGGCAAAGGAGAAAGCCGAGCGUGAAAAGCAGGAGCGUCAGCAGAAGAAGAAGCAGCUGAUCGACAUGAACAAAGAAGGAGAUGAGACAGGUGUGAUGGACAGCCUGAUGGAGGCGCUGCAGUCUGGCGCGGCCUUCCGUGACCGCAGGAAACGAACCCCACGCACUGGUGAGAUUCCCCAAAUGAACCCCACGCCCCAGCAUUCUGGAGCUCUUCAUUAUGUUUUAUAA